rnacentral:rRNA from 1 species
UAUCCCCCCGGUGGAACUAGCAUAUCAAUAAAUGGAAGCAUUCGUGACAACAGAAAUUACCUCAGUAACGGCGUAAGUGAAGCGGUAAGAAGCUCAAAUUUGAAAGCUGGCUCCUUCGGGGUCCGUAUUGUAAUUUGCAGAGGAUGUUUCGGGAGCAGCCCCCAUCUAAGUGUCCUGGAACGGACCGUCAUAGAGGGUGAGAAUCCCGUAUGGGAUGGGGUGUCUGCGCCCAUGUGAAACUCCUUCGACGAGUCGAGUUGUUUGGGAAUGCAGCUCUAAAUGGGUGGUAAAUUUCAUCUAAAGCUAAAUAUUGGCCGGAGACCGAUAGCGCACAAGUAGAGUGAUCGAAAGAUGAAAAGCACUUUGAAAAGAGAGUUAAAAAGCACGUGAAAUUGUUGAAAGGGAAGCGCUUGCGAUCAGACUCGCCUUGGGGGUUCAGCCGGCAUUCGUGCCGGUGUACUUCCCCCAGGGCGGGCCAGCGUCGGUUUGGGUGGCCGGUCAAAGGCCCUUGGAAUGUAACGCCUCUCGGGGCGUCUUAUAGCCAAGGGUGCCAUGCGGCCUACCUGGACCGAGGAACGCGCUUCGGCUCGGACGCUGGCAUAAUGGUCGUAAGCGACCCGUCUUGAAACACGGACCAAGGAGUCUAACAUCUACGCGAGUGUUCGGGUGUCAAACCCGUGCGCGCAGUGAAAGCGAACGGAGGUGGGAACCCUUUGGGUGCACCAUCGACCGAUCCUGAUGUCUUCGGAUGGAUUUGAGUAAGAGCGUAGCUGUUGGGACCCGAAAGAUGGUGAACUAUGCCUGAAUAGGGCGAAGCCAGAGGAAACUGACUGGUGGAGGCUCGCAGCGGUUCUGACGUGCAAAUCGAUCGUCGAAUUUGGGGUAUAGGGGCGAAAGACUAAUCGAACCAUCUAGUAGCUGGUUCCUGCCGAAGCCCCCUUCCCCUCAGACAAGCUACAGAUGGUUUGUAUCAGUCUUUUGCUCUAUACUCUAAAUUCGACGAUGAUAUGCCACGUCAGAAACGCCGUGCAGCCUCCCAGAGUUUUCUCUGGCUUUGUCCUAUUCAGCCUAGUUAAUUCUUUGGGGAUCACGCUAGCUUUUUACUUCAAUCAUGUCGAGACUUCAGGAUGGAUGAUGAUGCAGGGGGCCUUGCUUACGGCUCAGGAUGUAACUGACUCGUAACAUUCUGAACUG